UGGGGGCAGAAGUUACAAGGUCUGGAUGGUUCUUCGAACCUUAAUACCUAGUCACUCUGCGAUUCCUUCUUCCCAUGGUGCCCAGGACUGCCCCAGACAGCACUGAAUCAGUCCUGCCUCCUGGAAGCCCACCCUUUCUGACUUCUCUGCCACACCCCCAGCAUGAGCUCAUUUUAUUCCUCAUCAUAAUUCCUGGAAGGUAAGGAGGGUGAUCUGUACCCCACGGCACUCAGUGGGUGUUUGGGAAGGAUGGGGAGAGCUGGUGACACGCCGGGCUGACUUGUGGAGAUCCCUACCCCUUGCCACACACACCUGUCUUCUGUCCCUCUGUCCCUCUCUCCCUCCUGCCCUCUUUGCUGUUAACAGUGCAGACAUGUGGCUUUCAGGGUCCUGCUACCAUCUUGCUUCAAGUAGCCUACUUAUUCGAACAUCCUCUUUCUACUCCUCCUUGUCUGCUGUGUGAUUUGGACAAAUUACUUAACCUCUCUGAUCCUUACUUGAGUUUCCUUUGCUGGACUUCAAGUACAAACGACUGAGCUAUUCCUACAGCUCACAUCAGGGUGCCUUAUCACCAUUGGUCCAUGAAGGCUUCCUCUCUUGUUAUAUUAAUUUUCCCUCUUUAUCUCCAAUCUCCAACCACACUCUCCACCCACGCCCACCAGAGGCAGCUAUUCUAAUGUUCUUAAUAAGUAUCUUCUUGUUCAAAUGUGUUUUCAAAAUACAUAUUGUUUUGUUUGUAGGUAGUGUUCAUUUACAUAAGUGGUUUUGUGUGUUCCAGAUCUCAUUCUGUUGUUUACUUUGAUUGCUACCUUCUGUUUUUAAGAUCCAUCCAUGUUGCUGCUUGAGCCUCAUUCCUUGCUUCCAAAAGGCUCUGUAUGUUUUUCCUCCCAGGUAUCUCCAUCUCCCCAUCUCCACAAACAGUACUGCAAUGACAUUACAUCAACAGGCCCUUAUGGACCAGGGUGAAGGUUUCUUUGGGGCCUACUCCUAAGAGAGAAUCGACUGGUCACAGGGCAUGGAUGAUUCCCAGCCCACUCUUCCAGGGCCUCUAGGAGCCAUCGGCGUGCGCGCUGCGGCCAGCCGCCGCCCCAGUGCUGGACGCUCGAGUUGUUCCCCAAGUUCCGGACUGUCCUGGUUGCGAACCGCCUUGGAAGCGGGGA